rnacentral:rRNA from 1 species
UAAGGAAUAUUGCACAAUGGGCGCAAGCCUGAUGCAGCCAUGCCGCGUGUGUGAAGAAGGCCUUCGGGUUGUAAAGCACUUUCAGCGAGGAGGAAGGUGGUGAGCUUAAUACGUUCAUCAAUUGACGUUACUCGCAGAAGAAGCACCGGCUAACUCCGUGCCAGCAGCCGCGGUAAUACGGAGGGUGCAAGCGUUAAUCGGAAUUACUGGGCGUAAAGCGCACGCAGGCGGUUUGUUAAGUCAGAUGUGAAAUCCCCGGGCUCAACCUGGGAACUGCAUUUGAAACUGGCAAGCUAGAGUCUCGUAGAGGGGGGUAGAAUUCCAGGUGUAGCGGUGAAAUGCGUAGAGAUCUGGAGGAAUACCGGUGGCGAAGGCGGCCCCCUGGACGAAGACUGACGCUCAGGUGCGAAAGCGUGGGGAGCAAACA